AUAAACGCUGGCGGCAUGCCUAAUACAUGCAAGUCGAACGGACGUAGCAAUACGUCAGUGGCGAGCGGGUGAGUAACACGUAAGUAACCGACCUCAAAGUCGAGGAUACCCUCUGGAAACGGAGGCUAAAACUGGAUAGGACGGGGGACCACAAGGAUCCCCGUUUAAAGGCGCAAUUGCACUGUUUUGAGCCGGGCUUGCGGCGCAUUAGCUAGUUGGUGAGAUAACAGCCCACCAAGGCGACGAUGCGUAGCUGCGCUGAGAGGCGGAACAGCCACACUGGGACUGAGACACGGCCCAGACUCCUACGGGAGGCAGCAGUAGGGAAUUUUCGGCAAUGGGGGGAACCCUGACCGAGCAAUGCCGCGUGAACGAUGAAGGUCUUCGGAUUGUAAAGUUCUGUCAAUGGGGAAGAAUGGUCCGCGUAGUGGAAAGACGCGGGCGUGACGGUACCUGUUUAGAAAGCCCCGGCCAACUAUGU
rnacentral:rRNA from 1 species